GAAAUUUGGAUACGAAACUGUCCUAGAGCCUCUCUUAAAAGACCUUAUUACAUUGGAGGAAGAGGGCAUUUUUUCCCUGCCAUUGGCAAACAUAUCAGAGGUUCAGUCUUUUGUGUUUCAGCAGAUAAUCUUGGUGCUCAUUCUUUGAGUGGCCUGGUAGAAAGUUUCACUGGACAUUACAUAUGUAGAUUUUGUAUUGGGCAUCAUUCAGACUACCAGCAAAAAGAGGUGCAUUCUGGGUCUUUUCCACCAAGAACAAAGGAGAAUUAUACUUUACAUGUUCGGUCUGUAAAGGAAAACCCUGAACUGUUACAUUGUUUUGGUGUAAAAAAGGUUUGUCCCUUAACAGAAAAAUUGAAGCAUUUCCAUUUUGUGACAGGGUACCCACCAGAUGUGCUCCAUGACCUCUUAGAAGGAAUAAUUCCUUUGGAGUUGGCACUAUGUUUUAAUGUGUUUGUAAAAAAGCAAUAUUUUACAGUUUUACAACUGAAUGAUUUAAUUACUGAGUUUCCAUAUAAUGGGACUGAUAAAACUGACUGCCCUCAACCCAUCCCACUAAAUCUUUCUUCUCGAAGAUCCAUUGCUGGAAACGCACACGAGAAUUGGACAUUACUGAGAUUAUUACCAUUUAUAAUUGGUGCAAAGGUGCCAUCCAAUGACCCCACAUGGCAAGUCCAUAUGACAUUAAAAGAUAUUACUGAGCUUGUGGUGUCUCCUGUUCAUACUGAGGACAGUAUUAGUUACCUUGAUACAUUGAUAUCUGAACAUCGUCACAGACUUUUGGAAGUUUUUCCUGACUUUAAGUUAACUCCUAAGCACCAUUUCUUGGAACAUUAUCCAGAAAUGAUAAAAUGCUUUGGACCUUUGGUUUGUGUCUGGACUAUGCGUUUUGAGGCAAAGCACAAUUUUUUUAAACGUGUUGUUAGACAUACAAACAGUUUCAAAAACAUUCUACUCUCUCUCACAACAAAGCACCAGAUGAUGAUGGCAUAUCAUUUUCAUGCUGAUACUUUUAAAUCUCCAUUAUGUGUGAGUAAAGUAACUACUAUUCCAUUGGCAUUACUGCAUGUGGAAAUACAGGAAUCUUUUAAAUAA
rnacentral:lncRNA from 1 species